GAUGAAGAACGUAGCGAAAUGCGAUACUUGGUGUGAAUUGCAGAAUCCCGUGAACCAUCGAGUCUUUGAACGCAAGUUGCGCCCGAAGCCAUUAGGCCGAGGGCACGCCUGCCUGGGCGUCACACGUCGUUGCCCCCCCAUCUACUCCUGCGGGAUUGCGGGGGGCGGAUGAUGGCCUCCCGUGCGCCUCGCCGCGCGGUUGGCAUAAAUGCCAAGUCCUCGGCGACGCACGCCACGACAAUCGGUGGUUGCGAAACCUCGGUUGCCCGUCGUGUGCGGUCGUCGCGCAUCGAGGGCUCGAAAAAAUUGCCGGGUUCCGGCUCGGCUUUCAACGCGACCCCAGGUCAGGCGGGGUUACCCGCUGAAUUUAAGCAUAUCAAUAAGCGGAGGA
rnacentral:misc_RNA from 1 species